rnacentral:rRNA from 1 species
UACGUAGGGUGCAAGCGUUGUCCGGAAUUAUUGGGCGUAAAGAGCUCGUAGGCGGUUCGUCACGUCGGCUGUGAAAUCCCGAGGCUCAACCUCGGGUCUGCAGUCGAUACGGGCGGACUGGAGUACUGCAGGGGAGACUGGAAUUCCUGGUGUAGCGGUGAAAUGCGCAGAUAUCAGGAGGAACACCGGUGGCGAAGGCGGGUCUCUGGGCAGUAACUGACGCUGGAGGAGC